rnacentral:tRNA from 1 species
UGCUGGUUAGCUCAGUUGGUUAGAGCGUGGUGCUGAAAAUGCCGAGGUCACGGGUUUUAUCCCCGUACGGUUAC